ensembl:lncRNA
GAGGAGAGUGCAGGCUGUGCCUUGGGGAGCAGCUAUAGAUAAGGCUGGAGAAGCGAGCAGGGAUCUGGUAACAAAAGACACUGCUGAGCCCUGAAAACGGACUUGGGUGGAAACAGACAAGACCCCUACCUACAAGGUGGCUCAAGGCGGGGGAGGCAGACAGACAUUCAAAUAACAAAAAUACCUGCCAUGGAGAGGUCCUUGCUGAAUGCCAGAACUUCAUGGGGCUCCCGUCCAGUGGACUCAUCACCGGGGUUAUCAGCCCCUUUUGCAGAUGAGAAAACUGAAGUUCAGAAAUGUGAAGAAACUUGUCUAGGUCCCCACACCUAGUGACUGGCAGAGCCUCAACUAUCAUAGAACACAGACCAGCCUGACUCCGAAGUGUGGGAUCUUUCUCAACCGCACACAGCUGCUGGGGUACGUUUCAAGUUUCUGGGUGAAGACACCAGGCCAAGGCAGAGUCGAGAAGACGCAUGGACACCAGAGGCAUACAGCUUUCAGAGGCUCCGGUCUGGGCAGGAUGUAAUUUGCAGGCUACGGAAGAGGAUUUGAGAAGAGUACGCUCCUCUGGGCCGUGAGGGAACCAGGGAAACGACAGCGUCGGGGCCUUUAGCCUUAUCUCCCAGCCUGCCGUUCUGUCAGAGGAAAUUAGAUUUGCUUGGCACAACCUGCUCCUUGUGAGGUCAUUUUGGCUGCGGUCUGCACGUUCUGCUCUCCUAGAACUCAGAGGCUGUUCUAAUUGCAGAAAGGAGCUGAGAACGAGGUGGCCUCCAUCCCAGAGUGGUCUAGACCAACAGCUGGGGGCCAGCUUCCCCACAUCUCCAGCCACAUCCCUUCUACAGGAUUCCCUCACUCCAGCAAGGCUUCACCUCCUGCCCGUUGCCUUGGAACAUGCUGUUCCCUCCCUGGGAAUAGCCCUUACCACCACCCUACCCCCAGAUUGUCUGGGCUGGGCUCCAGGUGCCUCUGUUCAGGCUAAGACAGAUGUCCCUGCCCCAUGUCCGCAGCCUACCCUGGAUUCACCACACCAUGUGUGAUGCCCAGGGCAUUUCAAUGGUCUGCUCUGUGUCUGGCUCUCUCCCAGCCAGUGCCCUCCAGGAGGGCAGGGACAGGGAACGACAAGGCCCUCAGUGGAUGUUUGCAGAGUGAACCCAUGGAGAUCAGCUGUUUUCUCUGAUUUUCUGUCCCUGCCCCCUUAGAUGCAAUGCCUUCAGAUAUCAAUCUAUUCAUCCAGACUCGCUUCCGACAACCAUUUUGCUCAAAAACAGAGAUCUUGGAGAGACUUACCCUGUCGAUUUGGUUUGGUUUAGAAGCAGGUGUAUGUCUGCUGGACUGCUGGUCUUUAAUAAGAGUGCCACGCAGGCCAGAGGACAAAAGUUUCCCAAGCGCCUGGCCAGCUUUCUCCAGUGUUUUAGGGCUAGCUUGGGGGUUUGUCAUAAGGACCGUGGUCAUCCAUGUAGACCUGUGACGUCAGCUUUGGAGAGUGGUUGGGGACCUAGGUUCUGGAGGUGGACUACUCAGUUUCCAGCCUCAGAGACACUGAACCUCUUUGUACCUCGGUUUCCUCAUCUGUACAUUAUCUGCCUGACUGAGGUCUGGUCAACAUUAAAGGAGCUCAUCCAAGUAAAGCCCUUGACCCAGCGUCUGGUGUAAAGUGAGUGCUCAGUGGAGGUGAGCUAGCGUCUCUUAGCACUGCACCUGUAACUGAUGGAAACGCCAGCCCAGGCCUCCGCUGUGACUGUAACAGAGGCCGCAUAGCUGCAGUGAGACAGCGACAUCCCUUCUGCCAGAGCUGAGCUCCGGGAAUUAGACGUUGGAGUUACUCCUUAAUUCAGAUGAGUUUUUGUGAACAGGAAGACAUCAUUCAAGAAGAGAUAUGAGACCUGUCUGUACCUGAUGCGGUGUGAGCCUUUCUCUUCCUCAAUGGGUGCCUGGUUAUGUGAGUUGGUUGCCUUGGUGGUUGGGUCACCUGAUGGCAUACAGCAGCGGUCAGCAAACAACAGUUCUCAGGCCAAAUCAGGCUAAAUAAAGCUUUACUGAAACACAGUCACGACCAUUCCCUUACAUAAUGCCUAUGAGUGUUUUGCACCAUAAUGGCAGAGUUCAGUAGUUGUAACCGAGACCACAGGGCUUGCACAAUCUACAAUAGUUUCUGUCUGGUCCUUUACAGAGAAGUUUCCCUGGUGUUAGACUGAAGUAGGAUUAAAGCUGAUUAAACUCAACCAGAACACUGGGCACCAUCCCAUCUCUCGCUCUCCCUCAAGCCCUGGCAUCAGGCUGGUCACCAAGACCAGAUUAUUUUGCCCCACACUGUCUCAUACAUUUGGUCCCCCAUCUCUUCCACAAAAGCCACAGCCUUCGUUCAGCCCUUUCCCCACCCCUCUUGACUAUCACACACGAGGGCCACCACCAGCCCAUAAGGUGUCUGGGUGAAUUAGAUAAGGAUAUCUUCUGUGGGUCGAUGCAGCUCCACCACUCGUCGCUGGGCAGCAGGGGUGCCUCUUGGCUGGAAAGCCCCCACCUAACACAAUUGAUUAUACUGGAUCAACUGUAGCUCUUACACCUCUUGGUUCCGUCUGUUGAUUAUAGUGUCUUCUGGCGUCCCUGUCCAGGCAGUCCUCCACACCAGAGCUAGAGUGAUCCUUGUAACCAACUUGACCACUUCAUGGCUUCCCCUGGCCCCCAGGACAGAGCCUAUGAACAUGAUAUUCAAGGCCCUUCGUGGUUUGGUCUUGGCUAGUCUCCCUGUCCCAUGGCUCAAAACCUGCUCAGUCCACAUCACAUCUGAGCCCCGUCAUGCAAUUUGAGCCCCCACCCCCACCGCCACUCACCAUGAGACCUAGAUUUCCACACUUGCUAAUAUUUGGGGGAUCAGCACAGUCUUGUCCUUAGUGAAAUACUCUGCUUUUCCUCUUACCCAUCCAGAAAAUUCCUAGUCAUCCUUCAAAUCCACUGCAAGCAUCUUCUCCCUGUUUCACCCUCCCCAGUUCUCCCAAGCAGACUUGGACCCUCCUUCUGCAGUUCGAUUCAACCAUGGUCCAUAGCCCAUCAGUGGGUCAGGUUAGCAGGAUAGUGGACCUUGAUGAAUGCUUCUUGAAAGAUGAAUUAGGGUGAAAACACAUAAGUGCAUCAUCUUUGUCAGGUGUGGGUAUAACACAGUAUGAACAGCACAAGCCAUGGAGCUGGACUGCCUACGUGCAAAUCCAGCUCUGCAAUUGAUUAGCAAUGGCCUUGGGCAAGGGACUUCACCUUUCUGUGUCUCAAUUCCCUCAUUUGGAAAACAAUGAUAAUGAUAGCACUUCCUUUAUGGCCUACCAUGAACAUUAAAUCAGUAUAUUACUUAAUAUAUGUUUGUAUAUUAUGUAUAAAUAUAUUUGUGUGUUUGCACAACUAUACCUUGGAGAUAUAGCACAUUUGGUUCCAGAUCAAUGCAAUAAAGCAAAUAUUGUAACAAAUCAAGUCACACAACUUUUUUGGUGUCCUGGUGCAUAUAAAUUAUGUUUACACUAUAGUCUAUUAAGUAUG